GGCGGUAAUACAGAGGGUGCAAGCGUUGUUCGGAAUUAUUGGGCGUAAAGCGCGGGUAGGCGGUCCUGCAAGUGGUGCGUGAAAGCGCCCGGCUCAACCGGGCGAGGACGUGGGCUAACUGCAGGGCUAGAGGCAGGUAGAGGCGUGUGGAAUUCCGGGUGUAGUGGUGAAAUGCGUAGAGAUCCGGAGGAACACCAGUGGCGAAGGCGACACGCUGGGCCUGGCCUGACGCUGAGAGGCGAAAGCAUGGGGAGCGAACGGG
rnacentral:rRNA from 1 species